GGGCCUCACUGAUGACAACAUCAUCUUCUUUGAGCCUAUCGAGGAAUGUAUCUGAUGCAUGAACAGGCAGUGCCUCCCGCACCAUAUCCCUGUUUUCUCAGUCAUUUCUGCGCAAGGUGCCAUCUGGAUGCCCACCCGCUGUCCUGCCAGUGAGAGAGCCAGAAGACCCUUCUUUUAGUGCGUGCUGGCCACCCAGGCACUGCAAAAGCCACCUGCGUGUGGAGUUCUCUUAUGUGCUAAAUAAAAGCACACCACAGAC
rnacentral:lncRNA from 1 species